rnacentral:rRNA from 1 species
AGAGUUUGAUCAUGGCUCAGGAUGAACGCUAGCGGCAGGCCUAAUACAUGCAAGUCGAACGGUAAGUGUAGUAGCAAUAUUAUACGAGAGUGACGUACGGGUGCGUAACACGUAUGCAACCUACCCUUUACAGGAGGAUAGCUCGGGGAAACUCGAAUUAACCCUCCAUAACAUAUUGGUGUGGCAUCACAUUAAUAUUAAAACUCCGGUGGUAAAGGAUGGGCAUGCGUCUGAUUAGUUAGUUGGUGCGGGUAACGGCCCACCAAGACGAUGAUCAGUAGGGGAACUGAGAGGUUGAUCCCCCACACUGGCACUGAGAUACGGGCCAGACUCCUACGGGAGGCAGCAGUAGGGAAUAUUGGUCAAUGGAUGGAAGUCUGAACCAGCCAUGCCGCGUGCAGGAAGAAGGCCUUCUGGGUUGUAAACUGCUUUUGCCAGGGGAUAAAAAGACCGUGCGCGGUUAAUUGAAGGUACCUGGUGAAUAAGCCACGGCUAACUACGUGCCAGCAGCCGCGGUAAUACGUAGGUGGCAAGCGUUGUCCGGAUUUAUUGGGUUUAAAGGGUGCGUAGGCGGCCCCGUAAGUCAGUGGUGAAAUAUCUCAGCUUAACUGAGAGGGUGCCAUUGAUACUGCGGGGCUUGAGUACAGAUGAGGUAGGCGGAAUUGACGGUGUAGCGGUGAAAUGCAUAGAUAUCGUCAAGAACACCGAUAGCGAAGGCAGCUUACUAAGCUGUAACUGACGCUGAGGCACGAAAGUGUGGGGAUCAAACAGGAUUAGAUACCCUGGUAGUCC